GGGACCCUAUGCUACAGACAAGUUGCUUCUGUUGCUUUGCCCAUAUGUCUUCUGGAACAUCAACAUGUCCCAGCUGAUACAAAUGUGAGUAUUAUUUAAUUCUGUUAUUUAAAUUUUAUUUUUAAAGAUUAUCUUUUACUACUACAAAAUCAGAGCGUGUCCAUUGUCAUACAUCAGAAAAUAAGGACAAGCAAAAAUCACAGAACAAAAGUAUUCCCACCCCUCAGGUUCCUGUACCAGUCAGCCUUUGGGGAGACAAGAACAAUGCCAAUGACUACCGAUUCCUCCCUUCAUCACCUCUCUCCUAAGGGGCAAGAACUCAAGGAAGCUCCAACUUCCAUUUCUAGGAUUGUCACCACCCACUUUACAGCAGAGAUUCAACUUUAUUAAAGGAUUCACUCAACUUAUUAGCCUGUUUGACAAGAGUUAGAACAAACAAUCCUAAAAACUGUAUGGAAACACAGAAGACCCCAAUUAGCCAAAGCAACUUUGAAUAAGAAAAGCAAAGCUGGAGGCAUCACAAUUCCAGAUUUCAAGUUACAUUUACAAAGCUGUAGUGAUCAAGACAGUAUGGCAUUAACACAAAAAUAGACACAUUGAUCAAUGGAUCAGAAUAAAAAAUCCAGAAAUGAA